CCCUUAGAUGUCCUGGGCCGCACGCGCGCUACACUGACAUGUUCAACAAGCCUCCUAGUUCGACUGGAUUUGGGAAAUCUUUGAACGCAUGUCGUGAUAGGGAUAGAUCAUUGCAAUUAUUGAUCUUGAACGAGGAAUUCCUAGUAAACGCGAGUCAUCAGCUCGCAUUGAUUACGUCCCUGCCCUUUGUACACACCGCCCGUCGCACCUACCGAUUGAAUGUUUCGGUGAAGAUUCCGGAUAGGACUUUUUUGAUUUAUUUCAAUUCUGUCUUAAAAGCUAUCUAAACCUCAACAUUUAGAGGAAGGUGAAGUCGUAACA
rnacentral:rRNA from 1 species